CUAAUAAAAAAUAAAAAUUCCUAUAAUUCCUUUUACUGUAUUAUUUUUUAAUUUUAGCUAACAAAUAAUAAUUGCAUAUAUUAUUUGUUUAUUAAGCACAAUGUGAUGUUUUGAUACAUAUUUAUUUUGUGGAAUAAUUAAAUCAAACUAAUUAACAAAUACAUAGCCUAGAGAUGAAGACAGACCAACACCAUCUUGUGGACUCCAUAUUCUUUGCCUAAUGCCAGGAGGAAAAGUAAACCCUAAAGACUUUUUAGAAACAAUAGUAGAUUUGAAGAAGAUCUAAAAUCUAAAGUCAUCCAAAUACAACUAUUUAAAUUAUUUAAAUUGACUUGAUGGAAUUUACAAGGUUGGACUAAAAUUUAAUUUUUAUUCUAUUUGUAGAGUGAAGAAAAAUAUAGCAGCUAUACAAAAUAAAAUACAUAAUUUAAAUGAUAUAGCAUAAGCAAGAUCAUUUAUUAACUUCAGUGUAAUUUAUGAUCAUCAACAAUUAAUGUAUGAUUAAAUAUCAAUUAAAGAAGAAUGUUUACGUAGUUUAUAUAUAGCAUUAAGUGAGGUAUUUUGCAAAUUUAUGUAAAGUACUAUUUGUGAAUAUUACACCAUAGUGUAAAAAAUGAUUAUGCGGGGCUGGGGAUGUAGCUCAAGCGGUAGCGCGCUCGCCUGGCAUGCGUGCGGCCCGGGUUCGAUCCUCAGCACCACAUACAAACAAAGAUGUUGUGUCUGC
rnacentral:lncRNA from 1 species